AAUAGAUACCCCGGUAGUCCACGCCGUAAACGGUGGGCACUAGGUGUGGGCAACAUUCCACGUUGUCCGUGCCGCAGCUAACGCAUUAAGUGCCCCGCCUGGGGAGUACGGCCGCAAGGCUAAAACUCAAAGGAAUUGACGGGGGCCCGGCACAAGCGGCGGAGCAUGUGGCUUAAUUCGACGCAACGCGAAGAACCUUACCAAGGCUUGACAUACACCGGAAACGUCUGGAGACAGGCGCCCCCUUGUGGUCGGUGUACAGGUGGUGCAUGGCUGUCGUCAGCUCGUGUCGUGAGAUGUUGGGUUAAGUCCCGCAACGAGCGCAACCCUUGUCCCGUGUUGCCAGCAGGCCCUUGUGGUGCUGGGGACUCACGGGGAGACCGCCGGGGUCAACUCGGAGGAAGGUGGGGAACGACGUCAAGGUCAUCAUGCCCCUUAUGUCUUGGGCUGCACACGUGCUACAAUGGCCGGUACAAUGAGCUGCGAUACCGCGAGGUGGAGCGAAUCUCAAAAAGCCGGUNUCAGUUCGGAUUGGGGU
rnacentral:rRNA from 1 species